rnacentral:rRNA from 1 species
UAGGUGAACCUGCUGAAGGAUCAUUGUCGAU